rnacentral:rRNA from 1 species
UACGUAGGGUGCGAGCGUUAAUCGGAAUUACUGGGCGUAAAGCGUGCGCAGGCGGUGAUGUAAGACCGAUGUGAAAUCCCCGGGCUUAGCCUGGGAACUGCAUUGGUGACUGCAUUGCUGGAGUAUGGCAGAGGGGGGUGGAAUUCCACGUGUAGCAGUGAAAUGCGUAGAGAUGUGGAGGAACACCGAUGGCGAAGGCAGCCCCGUGGGCCAAUACUGACGCUCAUGCACGAAAGCGUGGGGAGCAAACAGG